UCUAGAAGUAGUUGCAUCACAAUUCAAAGAGGAAUGAUUCCCAGCCAUUAUGAAGAAUUGCAAGUGCUGGUGUCAGCAGGGUCAGCACACCAGCUUGGUCAAUUAUACCAUAAGCUGCAGGAAAAAAAUAGACAUGGGCUGAGACACUGCAGGAGCACCAAGAAAAGUCACAGGACACAAAUGAUCUUUUUCAGUCCUUAUGGCAUGCUAAAUCUCUAUCAGAACACCAAAGAUGAAAUCCUUUGAAAUGGUUCCCCACUAGCAAGGUCAAAAUCAGGGACCAGUUGCCAGUUACAACGAAACAAAGAACAGAAACAAUGUCUUAUUUCCAACCUUUCAGUGCAACAAUUGAAUGUAUGUUUGGAAACUCGUCAGUUUUUCAUGUUAUAGAUAGAAGUGAUUCUGAAAGAAGCUGUUAUGGUGGGGAAAAUGAUUUUAAGAGGUUCAAACAUGUAUCCAAACAUACUAUGUUUUUGCAUGUAAGUUGGAAAACACAGUAAAUCUGAUCUUCUCCACGCUCCAUAGUUCAAGUCUGCACAAUCUAAUCACAUUUUUGCACAAGUAUCUUAUAUUUCUUAUGAAACUAUGUUUUCUUUGUGGCUACUCAAAUAAAUAAUUAUAGUGAAGUAUUAUUUUACUCUCCUCA